AUGGCUUUGAUGAUUGGUUGUUUUUUGGCUUAUGUUCGAAGGACAUAGAAUGUCUCAUCGUGUUUCAGGCAAUCAAAUCAAAGUGUUCUCGUUUGCCCAAAAUCAGCUCUUCGUAAACGUUUCUUUGGAAGAUUUUUCUUCUAUUUUGAUUCGAACAAGAUGCAUGCCAAAAAAAGGUUACGAACUGUUUGUAAAAUUAAGGAAUCGCUCGAGCGUUGUGUUUGUGAGACACAAAAUACGAGUAUUGUAAGCGUUAGGUCCGGUUAAGUAGUCGUUCUAAGGGAUUUGGUGACUACUUUGACCCCAAAUUGACGCGAUAUUCAAUUGAAAUUAGUGUUUGUUUGUGUCGCGAGUCGUUUUGCGCGUGUUUUUUUUCUCGUGAAAGUACGUGAAUCGUAAAUUUUAAUAGUGUAACCGGUAGCCCGUUUUAGUGCAAUUUUACGUGGAUUUCGAGAGUUCGUUCGUGUGUUCGAAAUGUGGACUUCGCAAAGGAUUGUUUCAAAGACGUCUCGUUGGUGAAUGGCUGAGUGUUGCGAUGAGCUGGAUGCAAAGAUGCAGUAUGUUUUUGGAUUCUUGUCGAAUAAUUUGAAUACUUGAGCGGAUAUCACAAUAUCUCAUCAUUACCAUUGAAAUACUACUGUCGCACGACGUGUUUCGAUCAAUGAAUGUUGAACAAGGUGCAGAAUUUUUGCGGAGUACCAAUGGGAAGAAUACAUACCUCAUUGAAAUCAUGCAGAGUCAACUUACGUGAAUGCAGAAUCAGUGAAGAAGGUAGGUCUAAAUUAUUUACUGUGUAAUAAUCUAGCUUCUUGGUAUGUCGACUGAAAGCCACUAUGAUAUGUCGUAGGCUAUCAUAAAUUGAAUUCUGGUGAUGAAUUAAUCGAACUAAUCUGAUAUUUUCGACUUGUUUUCCCUGGUACUCGUGUAUGGUGUUUACAGGAAAUCCUCUGCUGGCUAGUAUUUGCUUCUCGUUUUGCGUAAAUACUAGGUAAUGAGAAUCAAUAAA